AACGUAGGUGGCGAGCGUUAUCCGGAUUUACUGGGCGUAAAGGGUGUGCAGGCGGGAGGUCAAGUGGUGUAUGAAGUGGCCCGGCUUAACCGGGCAGCGGUAUGCCAGACUGGCCUUCUUGGGUGCGAGAGAGGGGCGUGGAAUUCCGGGUGUAGUGGUGAAAUGCGUAGAGAUCCGGAGGAACCCCAGAGGCGAAGGCGGCGCCCUGGCUCGCAACCGACGCUCAGACACGACAGCAUGGGGAGCGAACGGG
rnacentral:rRNA from 1 species